rnacentral:lncRNA from 1 species
CACAGCUUCAGAUGACCCCCAAACCAACUCCUACCUCAUUCACACUCUAUUCAAGUUCUCCUCCUAAUUGUCUUUUUUUUUUUUUUUUCAGAAUCAUCCAUUUAUUUCAAUGUAGGGCCAAUGCAGCAUGUGGGGAAGCAAGGAGAGGAAGUUAGAGGUUCAGAGGGCCAGCAAGUAGGAGAUCAGAGUUUUCCAAUGAAGAUUUUACUCUGAGCUGGAAAUGAGUUGCCCUUUGGGUUCCAGUACAAUCUGUGCCAUUUAUCUGCCAGUCUCUCAAAGGUAAACUAGAACAUCUCCCUGCAGGUAGUCACCCUGACAGUGAAAUGGGCAACUUCUAUACUUGUCUCAUUUCGUCUUCACAGCCAAGUUGUGAGGUAGGCAUCUGUAUAGCUCAGGGACACCUAAGUAAAGUGGUUUGGCCAAAGUAAGAGUUUUAUUUCCCUCAUGUGACACAAAGUCCAGACAAGGCUGGUACAGCUGCUUGAGGAGUUAAUUAUCAGGAAUUCAAGAACCUGCUCCACUACCGUUCCUGAGCAUGUGCCUUCCAACUUCAUUGUCACAAGAUGGCUGCCCCUCCUUCAAGAAUAGCAUUUAUGUCCCAGGCAAGAAGAAAGGGAAGGGCGGAGAGUAAAAGGCAUGUGCCAGCUGAAUCUGGCCCAUUUAUAAGGAAAGCAAUAGCUCUUCUUGAAGCCACCCCAGCAGGCUUCUGGCCACCUCUCAUUAGUAGGAACUAGCAAUAUGGUCACCCCUGGGUGAAGGGAGCCUGGGCAGGGGAGCACUUAAUUUGGGACAUUGUCUCUCCAAAUAAGACUAGGCUUCCAUUGGUAAGAAUGGAGAGGUUGUGGAAGUAGACAAGGAGCAGUGUCUGCCUCACUACUAUUAUUCCUGUUUUACUGAUGAGGAAACAGCUUUGGAGAAGCUACAAGAUCUACUCAAGGCCAUGCACCUGGGCAGUGAAAGAGCCAGACCUUGCCUCCAGGUCCUCCAUCUGUGCAGAUGCCUGUGUGAGGUGGUACAAUGAGCAGGAGCACAGAAGAACCAGAUACCCUCCUCACCUGAGGUCAGGUGCUCCUCCAGGGAGAAUAUCUUCCUCACUGACUCACCAUGCCGGGCUGUCCCUCUGCGGCUACUCCAUCACCUGA